rnacentral:lncRNA from 1 species
AGCCACCCUGCCGCCAUUAACAGCACUAGGCAGGCAGUGCGCAGAGCUGAGAACUUGCCCCAGGUUACCCGCCUCCCAGCUGCUAAACAAAAGGGAGGCUUUUCAGCUGGUUCAAAUUGUUACAAAGUUCAGCUAGAGAUUUGCUUUUACCUGCGGCGUUUUCCCCAUACCACUGGCUGCCCUCCCGAAGAAUUCCUGUGAUGCCAGGCAGGAAUGGCCUGGUUGGAGACCAGCUAGCUCCCAGGGCCUUUCCCGCUGCUUCCUCUACCCCUGUAUUUCGCUGGGCUCUCUAAAUGGAUUCAGCUCCAGAGGAGGAAAACCUUGAGACCCUGAGACUUUCAGAAACUUAUUCACAGUUACCAAAGCUGCAGGAACCAGAAGUAAGGACAGGAGGCAGUGUGCACCGUGGGGAGAGACGGAUCUUACCACUCUCAGAUCAUCAAAUCUGCUCCACUGACCAUGGCAAGUGGGCAUCCCAGAGAUCUGCUCACAGCUUUUUCUCCCCACCUAAUGUGGCCCCAUGUCUGUCAUUUCCCCACAUCAUGUGGAAGUAGGUCUUCUUUCUUUCAGAUAGCCCGUUUUUCCCAUAGUUCAAAUCCUUCUGCAAUGAGGUCUCAGACCAUAUUGUACCCCCCGCCCCCACACUUUGCAGAAUUGUUGAGAGGUAUUUUAUAUUUGUUUGCAUAAUUAUUUGAUUAAUUUCUGUAUCUCAUGCUAAACUGCAAGCUUCGUGAAGGUAAGUUUCUCAUCUGCUUUUACUCACUACUUUAUUAUAGCCAGCACAGUUCCAGUUAUGUUGUAGACAAUCAAUAAACAUGUUGAAGAAAAGAAGAGUAGCUGAUCUUUAUUGGUAGUUUUGAGAUAACAAAGGAUGAAUGCACUCCAGCAAAACAACUUGAAAUUGUGUGUUAGAAACCAUUGCUUUAACAUUCAUCAGUCAUUCUCUGCCAUAGGCAAUAUUUCCACUGGCUAUGUCACACUUAGAUCCCAAAUUACUACAAUCUUAUUCAUUAUCUUUCUACUGCUACCUCAGGUUCUAGUCAACCAAAUCUAACUCCUUUUCUUUGCAAAAUAAAUACUUCGUAAUUUUGUUUUUGCUUUUGUAUCUUCUUAUGAGCUUGCUAUUAGGUGAGGAGUGUUUCCCAUUUACACUUAGGGUCAUCACAAAGCUAUUUUCUCAAUGAAUGGUGACAAAGUGUAAAAUCAGAGUGAUAACUAUUUGUCUAAAUGAAAAUUUCCAAAUUAAUAUACUUCCAAAUUCAUAUAUUUUUUAUUCCUAUAUGAAUUUCCAAAUUCAUAUAUUUCCUCUGAAUUUCCAAAUUCAUAUAUUUCUUAUUCUAAUAUUUGUGUAUUCUACAAAACCGUAUAUAUAUAUAUACACACACAUGUGAACUUAAGAGCAGUUAUCUCUAAAUGAUGAAUAUUUUAUAUAUAUCUCUAAAUGGUGACUAUUUAUAUAUAAAU